UAGCCAAUACUGAAUUAUCAUUUUUAUGUUGUGCAGACUUCUGAUAGAUGCUACUUCCCCUGUAUAUCUGUCAACAUUAGAAGACGGUAAAAUUGUGAGGGGGUUUGAAGGUUUACCUUCAGAAGGACCUGUACUGUACGUUGGCUAUCACAUGUUAUUAGGACUUGAGCUAGGUCCAAUGAUAACUCAAGUUUUGAAAGAAAGAAACAUUCACUUGCGCGGUAUGGCACAUCCAAUGCUGUUUAUAAACAGUGAAGUCACGUUUGUGGACACACAGAUGCUUGACAAAUACAAAAUAUUGGGUGGAGUUCCUGUCUCCAACUUCAAUAUCUACAAACUACUGCAAGCAAAGUCUCAUGUGCUUUUGUAUCCUGGUGGUAUCCGUGAAGCUUUGCAUAGAAAGGUGCUUUUCUUUCUCUCAUGGAGUUUUUCUUAAAAAGGUUUGUUCCUAGACUUAUCUUUGUGAGAGAAUUUGCAGGGUGAAGAAUACAAGUUGUUCUGGCCAGAGCAACAAGAGUUUGUGAGAGUUGCAUCUAAAUUUGGAGCUAAGAUUGUCCCUUUUGGUGUUGUUGGAGAAGACGACAUCUGCAAGGUAAGAUUUCUCUACUCAGUUAUUCAGAAGUUUACAUUACCCAAUAAGACAUUCUCAGCUUCUAAAACGUUUUAGAUAUGUUUUGUUUAACGUGUUAACAAGAAGCAUUUUCUCUCUUUCUGCUCUGCUAAACUCUACUUUAACCUGGUUGGUACAUUGUAUGAUAUUCUCAGCUUGUCCUGGAUGGCGAUGAUCAAAGGAACAUCCCUAUCCUAAAGAAAUUUAUGGAAGAAGCAACAAAGCAAGCUGGAAACUUAAGGUGCUUCAUUUCAUCGUCAUAUACCUUCAAGUAAAAACUCAUAUGAAAACUGAUUUUAAACGUCAAAACUGUUUAGGGAAGGAGAUGAGACUGAACUGGGAAACCAGGACUGUUAUCUCCCAGGACUUGUACCUAAGAUUCCUGGGCGGUUCUACUACUACUUUGGGAAACCUAUAGAAACAGCAGGUAUAUAAAUAUGCUAACUCUUAAACCAGACCAGUCUGUCUUAAAGCUGACUUUGAUUUUAUUCUCGUGGCAGGCAAGGAACAAGAGCUAAAAGACAAAGACAAGGCUCAAGAGUUUUACUUGCAAGUCAAGUCUGAGGUUGCACAAUGCAUUGCCUAUUUGAAGAUGAAAAGAGAGAGCGAUCCAUACAGACACUUGUUGCCAAGGAUGAUGUAUCAGGCCUCACAUGGUUUCUCUUCUGAAAUUCCGACGUUUGAUCUCUGAAAUGAUUCUCGCUUUUGAUUAUUUACUUAAUUACAUUAUACUAUAGCUAUGUUGUACGUAGACAUUAAUUGUUGAAAAAAUAAAUAUAGAUUUAAUCAUAUGUAAAUCUAUAAUUUUAAAGAAAGAAUCUUAAAAUACAUAUUUUUUGCCGAAAAAAUAUAGGCAUUUUCACCAAAUUGAACACCUUCUUUACAAAUACACUAGAUCAUGAUCCGCGCGCCCGCGUGGAUUUUAUUUUUGUUUGUAUACAUUUCGAGUUUUUCCAAUUCUUUUUUUUUUGUUUAAAGAAAAAUAUUUAAACUGUGUUUUGUAUUAGUAGUUUUUCAUCGGUAUAUUAGAGAUAUAACCGUGCAGUGAAAAUUAGAGAUAUAACCGUGCAGUGAAAAUACUAACAUAAUAUUAAGUAAUACGAUUUGGAUCGAAAUAACUGUGUAUUAUAGAUGUUUUGUGAAACACUAAACUAAUAGUAACCAAUACGAUUUGGAUUAACAUAUCAGUGUAUUAUAAACAUAGACAUUAGGUGAAAAUACUAAUCUAAUAUUAACGAAAACGAUAUAGGCUAACAUCUCUGAAGUCAUCAUUAUUAUUAUAAUAAAAUAAUUGUAAUAAUAAAAUAGAUAAACAAACAAAAGUGUAAUUUUUUUUAAAAAACCCCAUGCGGAUAUAUAAAUGUUUUAAUUGAUCGAUAUAACAAUUUUUUUUGUUUAAGUAAUUUAAAUAAAAGUGUACUAAUCGAAAAAAAUAAUAGUUUUAAUUUGUUUUUAUUAAUAGAAUAGUAUUUUCAAUGUGUAUGCAAGAAUUAUAAUAAAUAUAGAAACAAAAUGUGUUUGGUUAAAAAAUUAAGUGCAAUCAUAUAAUUGUUUUUGUUUUAUAUUUAAUGGCAAUCUAACUAUUAUGAUCCAUAAAGCAAAAUUUUAUUGUAAUCCACAAGUCCAUAUCAAAACAAUAAGCCCAUAAGUAACAACAAUUGUCCAGGAAAAGAAAUAAUAAAAACGGUUAUCUUUUAUUUUCCUUUUUCUUCCUUUAUUUUCUUCUACAGACAUAAACGUGUCUUUUUUUUUUUUUGGAAGCAUAACAUAUUCCUCUUCGAAAUCAUCGAUUCAGGUUGAAAGAACCCGAUCAAAAUUUUGUAAUUCAGAGAACACCAAAAUUUCUUUCUUCAUUCUCGUAAACAGAGCAAGCUCAUUGAUAGAUAUACUCAUAAAAGGUUAGAAUUUUUAUUUUUAUACUUUGUUUUCAUCCGGCCUUCAAUCGAUGCUGAUUUUCUUGUUCUUAUAGAGAUUGAUUUGUUUGUGGCUAGAUUUAUCGAUUCCUAUAAGAUCGGCUAUCAAUAUCGUCGAUUAAGAAAUUCACGGGUUCUUACAUUCUCUGUAAGUUUUCUUUGUCGGUGUCUCUCUCUGAUCUGUUCGUCUUCCUCGAUAUCCAUAAUAAUCAAAGAUAAAAAAAAUAAGAUACAAAUCUAGAUUGAAAUACAGAUUUAUGUUAAUACAAAAUUGUUGAAUUUGAUACUCGAGCUAUCGAGUAAAGGUUGGACUAUCAAUCGUUUAUAUUUUUUUUCGCUUAAAAGUAUCGUCAUUAUUUCUAUCAGUUUUACAUUUUGUUCUCUGAUCAAGAUAGUUAGAUUGCUACCAGGAGUUUUCCAUGGCCACUCACAGCCGUUCCUGAACUGUCCCUAGUUUUCCAUGGAAAUCUUCUAAAAGUAUUCUUAUGGUCUUUGGUUUUGGUUUUAUUUUGUAGUAUCCUAAUAAAACGGGAGAACCAUAAACGGGAGAAGCAUCAUGUAGAUACACAGAAGCAAUUCAGGAGUUUUCCAUGGCCACAAUGUCUUGCAUCAAAAUAUAAAGUAAAUUGUCUGGGAAAUUUAGAUUACUUUUAGAAGAUUUAAGUGGAACUGUAAAUGGUAGAUAGGUUUUUCCCUGGAGAAUGUUUGAUGUGCUGUAAUGUUUGUACUGUUUUAGAUGAAAAUUAUCAAGCAAAUAAUGAAUUAUUAUGAUAUGUAUUUAGAAACGUAUGUCAACAUUGCGUGAAACACAAAUAGAUAGUUGUAAAAAACCAAAACUAACGAAAAAAACUUAUUCUGGAUAGUAGCAAUUCUCACGCUUCCACAUCUCUCACGUUUCCACAGCUCUCACGCUUCCAAACCUUGUCGACUUCUGAAUUUAGUCUCCGAGGUUGUUGAAAACCUCUUUGAAAACAACAUUCAUUGUUUUUCGCUGAGGUUUUCCAUCUUUGUCGACAAUCAGAAUCUUCAGACCCUUUUUCGAUGUCACUCUAGAAAUAGCUACAUAAAGCUGUCCAUGUGAGAACACUGAUCUUGGUAAAUAAAUUCCAACUUCCGAGAGUGAUUGACCUUGGCUUUUGUUGAUUGUUAUUGCAAAAGCCACAGCCAGUGGAAGUUGCCUUCUACGCAUUUUGAAAGGCAAUUUGGUGUCUGAUGGUGUGAUCAAUAACCUAGGAAUGUAGACAGUAUCACCAACUUUUUCCCAUGUAAGUAUCUUAGCUCCCACCAUAAACGGCAUUAGUUCAGUAAUCACUAAUCUUGUUCCGUUCAUUAAUCCUUCUGUAGGAGCUAUAUUCCUCAGUACCAUGACUAGACAUCCAAUCUUCAGUCUUAUACUAUGAUUUGGCAAACCAGAGACCUUAAUGUUGUUUAGAAAAUCUGGACCUAGGCCUUCAUCGUUAAAUGAUCUUACAUCAGAGACGGAUCAAUACUAUCAGAGCUUAGAUAAAUCUUUUCUUCACCUGCGUUUUAUAAAAUUCUUAGUUAUAUACUAUCAGAGCUCAGAUAAAUACACUAUAUAAUAUUAUCAUUUUUAUGUUGUGCAGACUUCUGAUAGAUGCUACUUCCCCUGUAUAUCUGUCAACAUUAGAAGACGGUAAAAUUGUGAGGGGGUUUGAAGGUUUACCUUCAGAAGGACCUGUACUGUACGUUGGCUAUCACAUGUUAUUAGGACUUGAGCUAGGUCCAAUGAUAACUCAAGUUUUGAAAGAAAGAAACAUUCACUUGCGCGGUAUGGCACAUCCAAUGCUGUUUAUAAACAGUGAAGUCACGUUUGUGGACACACAGAUGCUUGACAAAUACAAAAUAUUGGGUGGAGUUCCUGUCUCCAACUUCAAUAUCUACAAACUACUGCAAGCAAAGUCUCAUGUGCUUUUGUAUCCUGGUGGUAUCCGUGAAGCUUUGCAUAGAAAGG
rnacentral:lncRNA from 1 species